CAGUGGUGUGUGAACCAACACUGCAUGGAGACAACACUAACACCAACACACAACACAACACAGUAAAUGCUUCUAUUGAAGAUUCUCCAGGAACAAUGCAGAUACAGUCCAUCCUGGUAGACACUGGGUUACUGCACAAUCUCUAACAAUGCCACCAGUUUAUCAGCCUGAUGAAGAGCUCAGUGUGAAUAUCGGAGACUCUGCCACUCUACAGUGCUGUUAUGAUUCUCAGAAUGUGAUUGGAAUAAUAGACUUGUUUAAACAACCAAAUAAUAAAAAACCUCAGAUUGUAGUCACAGUGUAUAAAAGCGAUAGAGGAACUUUUCACGCUGGAUUCCAAAAGUCUCGUUUUCGAAUAGAAAGAUCUUCAAACUGCUUCAAUAUUAUAAUUUUAAACACCACUCAGUCUGAUGACCCUUACGCAACAAAAAUAUAUUUCUCAAUAUAUUACGUGACAAUAUAUUUCAUGCGUCUCCAUAUAUUGUGAAAUUUAGUGGUUAAGGUGAGUGGUUAGAGAGACUUGAUGACAGAAAAUGUUUUGCUGUUGGAAGACAGUAUGACAAAUCACACAGUUCAGUGCUAAAUUUAGAAAAUGUAGUUGGCUUGAAAAGAUUGCAGGAAAAAGGUUUUUGAUGUGAUGUAAUUCAACAGGAAAUGUAUGUUAAUUAAUCUGCCACAUUAUGCCAACGUUACCUCCACGUUGCAGGAGGUACUGAAAUGUCAUGUUGAUGAAAAGUGGACUCAAAAAAAAAAAGUUGUAAUUGCUGCUGUUAAUAAUAAAUGAAUUUAUAAUA